GAUGAACGCUGGCGGCGUGCUUAACACAUGCAAGUCGAACGGUGAAAGCGGAGCUUGCUCUGCUGGAACAGUGGCGAACGGGUGAGUAACACGUGAGCAACCUGCCCCGGACUCUGGGCUAACAGCUGGAACCAGCGGCUAAUACCGGAUACGAGCUGCGAAGGCAUCUCCAUCAGCUGGAAAGAACUUCGGUCCGGGAAGGUCUCGCGGCCUAUCAGCUAGUUGGCGAGGUAACGGCUCACCAAGGAGUCGACGGGUAGCCGGCCUGAGAGGGUGACCGGCCACACUGGGACUGAGACACGGCCCAGACUCCUACGGGAGGCAGCAGUGGGGAAUAUUGCACAAUGGGCGCAAGCCUGAUGAAGCAACGCCGCGUGAGGGACGACGGCCUUCGGGUUGUAAACCUCUUUUAGCAGGGAAGAAGCGAAAGUGACGGUACCUGCAGAAAAAGCACCGGCUAACUACGUGCCAGCCGCCGCUGUAACAC
rnacentral:rRNA from 1 species